UACGGAGGGUGCAAGCGUUAAUCGGAAUUACUGGGCGUAAAGCGUGCGUAGGUGGUUCGUUAAGUCCGUUGUGAAAGCCCCGAGCUCAACCUGGGAAUGGCGAUGGAAACUGGCGGGCUGGAGUGUGGCAGAGGGGGGUGGAAUUCCGCGUGUAGCAGUGAAAUGCGUAGAGAUGCGGAGGAACACCGAUGGCGAAGGCAGCCCCCUGGGCCAACACUGACGCUCAGGCACGAAAGCGUGGGGAGCAAACAGG
rnacentral:rRNA from 1 species